AAGGUUGUAUUCGCUAUCCCAAAACCUAAUGUCAUACUUCCAAAUGCAAUGAUCACUUUUCCAUGUUGAAAACUUUUUUAGAAUAUAUUUAUGAAUUACAAUUUGUUGCCAAAAUGAUUUUAAUGCCUUGAUGUCGAUAAUUAAUUCCCCUUGCCAGAUUACCAUUCUCCUACAUUUUUAAUAAUUUGCAUGUUAAUUAUAAAUCUGUUAAAAAUUAUGUUGAUUGUAGGAGUUAGGACCUUUUUGCUUGCAAAGUGAUGGUGUUCCAUAUUUGGUACAUUAUCAUGUUUUGCAGGUGUCAAAGUGCACAGAGAUGACGCAUAAAGAUAGGAAAGACUAUUAUCUUAAGGAUCUAUUUUUUCAACAAUAUGAAGAUAAAAGUAUGGAUCCAUCACGUUUGAGCGACAUAACAGAUAAUUUCUCCAAGAAGGCAGAGAUUGGUAGUGGUGGAUUCGGAGUGGUUUACAAGACAAACCAUGUGGACUUCCAUGGCAAGUGUGCUACAAAAUCAUCCAAGGAAUUUGUCUAGGUUUGCACCAUCUUCAUGAGCACAGAAUCAUUCAUAGAGAUAUCAAAGCAGGCAAUAUUCUACUUGAUGAUCACAUGACUCCGAAAAUUGCGGACUUUGGUUUGUCAAGGUUCUUAGGGGAUGCUAAAAGCAGAAUUAACACUCGCCAAGAUGGAACACUGGGAUACAUGGCACCUGAAAGUAUGUUCAAUGGAGUAUUUACUUUCAAGUCCGAUAUAUACAGUCUGGGCAUGAUAAUCAGAAAGAUUGUGACUGGUAACAGUGCAAUAUCAAAGGAAGAGACCGUAAGGAUUUCUCUUCAAUGUUUUUUUACUAUUUCUUCAAUGUUAACCAUUCUAUAUAAAUGGAACCAGGAUGUGGCCUCUUGUUCUAAACAAACUUUACCAUGAAAAUGUAGUUAUACGUGUGGGGUCAUAGGUCAAACCUAGAUGCAUCACAGAGGCCCACUCCGUUGGAUCAAGUAGAAGAAUGCAUCGAUAUAUCAAUAAGCUGCAUAGACAUAGCUAAAGCAGCAGAGAACAGACCUGAUAUGCGGGAUAUCCUCCGUAGGCUUGGUAUAAUAGGAACUAGUGGCUGCUCUGCCGCAGGUGGCAUAAACACUUCUCCGGCACCGGUACGAUCAUUCCAAUUACAAGUUGUGAAAACACAUGAGUUGUCACAACCGCAUGUGUCAUCAUUUUUCUUUGUUAGUGGAGGUAUGAUGUCUCUUAAAGUUGAUAUAAGUAUUUUGUAUCCCAAUAGUCAUCAUCGACGAGAAAGGGGCCGAAGGUCGAAACCGAGCCAUCAAUGGCAGCAUCAGCUAAGAGGCCAGGAGAGGCAAGCCCUGAAAAGUUGGAGGUAAC